AUUGAACGCUGGCGGCAGGCCUAACACAUGCAAGUCGAGCGCGCGGCGGACGGGUGUGUAAUGUCUGGGAAACUGCCUGAUGGAGGGGGUAAACUACUGGAAACGGUAGCUAAUACCGCAUACCAUCCGAUGUUCCCAGAUGGGAUUAGCUAGUAGGUGGGGUAAAGGCUGACCUAGGCGACGAUCCCUAGCUGGUCUGAGAGGAUGAACAGCCACACUGGAACUGAGACACGGUCCAGACUCCUACGUGAGGCAGCAGUGGGGAAUAUUGCGCAAUGGGCGCAAGCCUGAUGCAGCCAUGCCGCGUGUAUGAAGAAGGCCUUCGGGUUGUAAAGUACUUUCAGCAGGGAGGCGUUACCCGCAGAAGAAGCACCGGCUAACUACGUGCCAGCCGCCGCGGUAAUAC
rnacentral:rRNA from 1 species